rnacentral:rRNA from 1 species
UACGUAGGGGGCAAGCGUUGUCCGGAAUUAUUGGGCGUAAAGCGCGCGCAGGCGGUUUUUUAAGUCUGGUGUUUAAACCCGAGGCUCAACCUCGGGUCGCAUCGGAAACUGGGAGACUGGAGUGUAGGAGAGGGAAGUGGAAUUCCACGUGUAGCGGUGAAAUGCGUAGAGAUGUGGAGGAACACCAGUGGCGAAGGCGACUUCCUGGCCUAUAACUGACGCUGAGGCGCGAAAGCGUGGGGAGC